rnacentral:rRNA from 1 species
GGAGUACGACCGCAAGGUUGAAACUCAAAGGAAUUGACGGGGGCCNGCNCAAGCGGUGGAGCANGUGGUUUAAUUNGAAGCAACGCGAAGAACCUUNCCAGGUCUUGACAUCCCUCUGACCGCUCUAGAGAUAGAGCUUUCNUUNGGGACAGAGGUGACAGGUGGUGCAUGGUUGUCGUCAGCUNGUGUCGUGAGANNNNNGGUUAAGUCCCGCAACGAGCGCAACCCCUAUUGUUAGUUGCCAUCAUUCAGUUGGGCACUCUAGCGAGACUGCCGGUAAUAAACCGGAGGAAGGUGGGGAUGACGUCAAAUCAUCAUGCCCCUUAUGACCUGGGCUACACACGUGCUACAAUGGCUGGUACAACGAGUCGCAAGCCGGUGACGGCAAGCUAAUCUCUUAAAGCCAGUNUCAGUUCGGAUUGUAGGCUGCAACUCGCCUACAUGAAGUCGGAAUC